rnacentral:rRNA from 1 species
UGGGGAAUCUUGGACAAUGGGGGCAACCCUGAUCCAGCCAUGCCGCGUGUGUGAAGAAGGCCUUCGGGUUGUAAAGCACUUUCAGCGAGGAGGAAAAGCAGCGGUUAAUACCUGUCUGUUUUGACGUUACUCGCAGAAGAAGCACCGGCUAAUUUCGUGCCAGCAGCCGCGGUAAUACGAAAGGUGCAAGCGUUAAUCGGAAUUACUGGGCGUAAAGGGCGCGUAGGCGGCCCGUUAAGUCAGAUGUGAAAGCCCCGGGCUCAACCUGGGAAUUGCAUCUGAUACUGGCGAGCUUGAGUGCAGUAGAGGGAGGUGGAAUUCCAGGUGUAGCGGUGAAAUGCGUAGAGAUCUGGAGGAACACCAGUGGCGAAGGCGGCCUCCUGGACUGACACUGACGCUGAGGCGCGAAAGCGUGGGUAGCAAACA